rnacentral:tRNA from 1 species
ACCUAAAACAAGUCAAAAAUCAAAAGUC